GGGCGCGUAGCCGGCUUGGCAAGCAUGGUGUGAAAGGCCACAGCUUAACUGUGGGACUGCUCUGGGAAAUGCUUAGCUAGAGAUUCGGAGGGCAAGAUGGAAUUCCUGGUAUAUGGGGUGAAAUCUGUAGAUAUCAGGUAGUACAUCUGUGACGAAGGCGAGCUUCUGGCCAGAAACGGACGCUGAGGUGCGAAAGCGUGGGGAACGAACAGCGAUUAGAUACCAUGGUAGUCCACGCUGUAAACGAUGUGCACUAGGUGUUGGCUGUGAUUACGGUCAGUGCCGAAGCAAACGGGAUAAGUCGCACCGCCUGGGGAGUAUGCUAGCAAGGCUGAAACUCAAAGCGAUUUGACGGGGGCCCGCACAAGCGUAGGAGCAUAUGGUUUAAUUCGAUGAUACGCUGAGGAACCUUACCAGGGUUUGAAAUAUGGCGGACUGCGGUAGAGAUGUCGGUUCCCUUCGGGACAGUUAUACAGGUGCUGCAUGUCUGUUGUCAGCUCGAGUUGUGAGGUAUUGAGAUUAAGUCCCGACAACGAGCGCAACCACUUACUGUCUGUUACCAGCAGCGUUAAUGGUGGGGAUUCCAGGCGGUAAUAUUCGUUGACAAACCGGAGGAAGGAGUGGAGGACGUCAAGUCAUCAUGACCCUUAUGUCUUAGGGCUAUAAAGGUGCUACAACUGUCCGGUCCAGAGUAGAGCGUAACCGAGAGGUGUGAGCUAAUGACAGAAAGCCGCUUUUCAGUAGGGAUUGGACUCUGAAACCCGACUUCAUGAAGUCUGGAAUCGUUAGUAAUUGCGCAUCAGCAUGGCUCGGAGUAUACGUUUCUCCGGGGCCAUGGUACACAACGCCCGUCUACACCACUCGACUAGUGGGGUACCUCGAAAUCGCUCCUCUGAC
rnacentral:rRNA from 1 species